rnacentral:rRNA from 1 species
GUCCACGCUGUAAACGAUGGAAGCUAGCCGUCGGCAAGUUUACUUGUCGGUGGCGCAGCUAACGCAUUAAGCUUCCCGCCUGGGGAGUACGGUCGCAAGAUUAAACUCAAAGGAAUUGACGGGGCCCGCACAAGCGGUGGAGCAUGUGGUUUAAUUCGAAGCAACGCGCAGAACCUUACCAGCCCUUGACAUCCCGGUCGCGGUUUCCAGAGAUGGAUUCCUUCAGUUCGGCUGGACCGGUGACAGGUGCUGCAUGGCUGUCGU